rnacentral:rRNA from 1 species
GAUGAACGCUGGCGGCGUGCCUAAUACAUGCAAGUCGAGCGAACAGACGAGGAGCUUGCUCCUCUGACGUUAGCGGCGGACGGGUGCGUAACACGUGGAUAAACUACCUAUCAGACUGGGAUAACUUCGGGAAACCGGAGCUAAUACCGGAUAAUAUAUUGAACCGCAUUGUUCAAUAGUGAAAGACGGUUUUGCUGUCACUUAUAGAUUGAUACGCGCCCCAUUAGCUAGUUGGUAAGGUAAAGGCUUACCAAGGCAACGAUGCGUAGACGACCUGAGCGGGAGAUUGGCCACACGGGAACUGAGACUGGGUCCAGACUCCUACGGGAGGCAGCAGUCGGGAAUCUUCCGCAAUGGGGGAAAGCCUGACGGAGCAACGCCGCGUGAGUGAUGAAGGACUUCGGAUCGUAAAACGCUGUUAUUAGGGAAGAAGAAAUGUGUAAGUAACUAUGCUCGUCUUGACGGUACCUAAUCAGAAAGCCACGGCUAACUACGUG